CUCCCGCCGGCGACCGGCGCACGGGUGAGUAACACGUAUGAAACCUGCCCGUAGCAGGGGGAUAAGCGGAAGAAAUUCCGUCUAAUACCGCGUAACAACCCGAGGAGGCAUCUCCUCGGGUUUAAAGGAAGCGAUUCCGGCUACGGAUGGUCAUGCGUCGCAUUAGCUAGUUGGCGGGGUAACGGCCCACCAAGGCGACGAUGCGUAGGGGUUCUGAGAGGAAGGUCCCCCACACUGGUACUGAGACACGGCCCAGACUCCUACGGAAGGCAGCAG
rnacentral:rRNA from 1 species